rnacentral:rRNA from 1 species
GACGUAGGGCGCGAGCGUUGUCCGGAUUUAUUGGGCGUAAAGAGCUCGUAGGCGGCUUGUUGCGUCGACUGUGAAAGCCUGCGGCUCAACCGUGUGGUCUGCAGUCGAUACGGGCAGGCUGGAGUUCGGUAGGGGAGACUGGAAUUCCUGGUGUAGCGGUGAAAUGCGCAGAUAUCAGGAGGAACACCGGUGGCGAAGGCGGGUCUCUGGGCCGAUACUGACGCUGAGGUGCGAAAGCGUGGGGAGCAAACGGG